GACGAACGCUGGCGGCGUGCUUAACACAUGCAAGUCGAACGGAACGGCCCUGCUUUUGUGGGGUGCUCGAGUGGCGCACGCGUUAGUAACACGUGAGUAACCUGCCCUUGAAUUUGGGAUAACUUCAGGAAACUGGGGCUCAUACCGGAUAGGAGCCCCUGCUGCAUGGUGGGGGUUGGAAAGUUUCGGCGGUUGGGGAUGGUCUCGCGGGUUAUCAGCUUGCUGGUGGGGUAGUGGCUGACCAAGGCUUUGACGGGUAGCCGGCCUGAGAGGGUGACCGGGCACAAUGGGACUGAGAUACGCCGCAGACGCCUACGGGAGGCAGUAGUGGAGAAUAUGACGGAAUGGGCCGGAGCCUGAGGCAGCGACGCCGCGUGCGGGAAGACGGCCUGCUGGGGGUAAACCGCUUUCGCCUGAGACGAAGCGUGAGUGGCGGUAAUGGGUAGAGAAGCACCGGCUAACUACGUG
rnacentral:rRNA from 1 species